CAGGGUGUCCUGUGGCCCCGGGAAGCCCUGGCUUCCUCCCUUCACCUGCACCCUGAAACCAGCUCCCUUGGAAGACAGCCCUGUUCACACCCUGCAGAUACAAGGAGAGAAGCACCGCCUGCAGAGGAUUGGUGGUCUCAGGCUCUGUCACACAGGAGUGUGGACUGAAGCAGCGAAGGUUGGUGGAAUUACAUCAGUCGUAAAAUGUAGGGAAAGCAUAUGGGUUGUCAACUACAAAUUGGCACUUAGCAAGAGCAUUACCAACGACUGAACCACAAAGGCGUUUGCCAUCUGCCUCUAUGGAGUCUGAACCCCAUGCUGCUAUAGCUGUGGACCUUCAACACCCCCUGAGGGUGUUCAGGGUGGGGUGAGGUGCUCUGUGCUCCAGGGAGUCUGGUGGGAUGGGUCUUUAGAUAGUUGGAUGUUUUUAGGAACAGAUUUUAUGAUCUCAGUCCUUGCAUCUCCUCACAUCUAGAGAAGCACUAAAUCCCUUCAUGGCGACAUCAGAUCCUCAUGACUCACAAAAACGUUUUGUAAAAUGAGUGCCUCAUGGUAUUGAACUCCCCUUCACCAAAACCUUAUAUACUGACUUUCCCCCACUGCCGUUUUGGAGCAGUCUCUCAGAGCUAUCUGAGAUAUUGCCUCUCCGGCCGCCGUCCCCAUUUUGGCCCAAAUAAAACUUAACUCGCAACUCUCAAGUUGUGCAUCUUUUUUGCUGACAGUUAUGGCAACCAUGAAGAGACCCAGAGUGGACUUCCUUUCUUCAACUGGACUCCACGAGGAACCAGAGCUUUGGUACCAGCAGCAGCCCCUUGCGCCCAUCCGCCUCCUCGGGGAGUGCAGACGAAUCCUGGUUCUUGAAUCUCCCAUACUGGUUGAGAUUCUGAGUUUUAUUUGGUGGUGGAGCAGGUUACCUGCCCCCUCCUAGUAGGAAAGAUACUGGUGCGCCUGGGUGAAACAUCCAGGGCAUACCCACUCAUGGUCUAGACACUGAGUGGGGCUCAGUUCAAAGGAAUUCCCACUCAGCCAAAAGAUACUAGAUGGGGGGCUGGCUGAAAGAUGCCAGGAGAAUUCCAACCCAGUGGAAAGGUAAGGGGGCUCAAUUGGAACAAAAUCGAGGACUACCCAGGGCUCAGCUGAAAGAUGCUGAAGUCGCUCCGUUGUAGGGGACUGAAAGGUCCUGGCUGAGUGGUUAAGUAUGAGGCUGAUCUGACACUAAACUUGACUGCCAUUAUAGAAGUUGUCAGGAUAAAAGUGAGGAAAAUACACGAGAGCUUGGCUCUGCAGAAAAGGGACAAGACUGCUCCUGGCCAGCUUCAGUUUUCUCAGGUGACUGAGAAAUUUACAGGCAUGGUGGAGGCCUAGUCCUCGUACCGUGCAGUGGUCCCACAGGGAGACCCACUCAUUAAUUAACAUACUUGUUCAGCCGGGGGUCACACAUAGGGACUGG
ensembl:lncRNA